UACGUAGGGGGCCAGCGUUGCUCGGAAUUACUGGGCGUAAAGGGUGCGUAGGCGGCUGGGUAAGUCUGACGUGAAAUCUCCGGGCCUAACCCGGAAACUGCGUUGGAUACUAUCCAGCUAGAGGAAUGGAGGGGAGACUGGAAUACUUGGUGUAGCAGUGAAAUGCGUAGAUAUCAAGUGGAACACCAGUGGCGAAGGCGAGUCUCUGGACAUUUCCUGACGCUGAGGCACGAAAGCCAGGGGAGCAAACGGG
rnacentral:rRNA from 1 species